CCUCGGGUGGCAGCAGUGGGGAAUAUUUCACAAUGGGGGAAACCCUGAUGCAGCGACGCCGCGUGAGUGAAGAAGUAUUUCGGUACGUAAAGCUCUAUCAGCAGGGAAGAAAAUGUCGGUACCUGACUUAUAAGCCCCGGCUAACUACGUGCCAGCAGCCGCGGUAAUACGUAGGGGGCAAGCGUUAUCCGGAUAUACUGGGUGUAAAGGGAGCGUAGACGGCAGAGCAAGUCUGAAGUGAAAGCCCAUGGCUUAACCAUGGAACUGUAUUGGAAACUGUGCAGCUGGAGUGCAGGAGAGGUAAGCGGAAUUCCUAGUGUAGCGGUGAAAUGCGUAGAUAUUAGGAGGAACACCAGUGGCGAAGGCGGCUUACUGGACUGUAACUGACGUUGAGGCUCGAAAGCGUGGGGAGCAAACAGGAUUAGAUACCCUUGUAGUC
rnacentral:rRNA from 1 species